rnacentral:rRNA from 1 species
CGCAAGCCUGACGGAGCAAGACCGCGUGGGGGAGGAAAGCCUUUGGGUUGUAAACCCCUUUUCUCAGGGAAGAAGAAAGUGACGGUACCUGAGGAAUCAGCCUCGGCUAACUCCGUGCCAGCAGCCGCGGUAAUACGGAGGAGGCAAGCGUUAUCCGGAAUGAUUGGGCGUAAAGCGUUCGUAGGUGGCGAUUCAAGUCUGCUGUCAAAGACAGUAGCUCAACUACUGAAAGGCAGUGGAAACUGAAUGGCUAGAGUGCGGUAGGGGCAGAGGGAAUUCCCGGUGUAGCGGUGAAAUGCGUAGAGAUCGGGAAGAACACCGGUGGCGAAAGCGCUCUGCUGGGCCGCAACUGACACUGAGGGACGAAAGCUAGGGGAGCG